ensembl:lncRNA
CUUUCAUUUUUUGAAAUCCAGGAUUUCUCAUAGAGAUGGCCAAAUGUUUGUUAUUAACUUGUCUUUGUUUUCACCACCAGUGGGCGAAGACGUAAUGACCAGACAAUCACCAUUUUGAAGGACACUGAUGUAGUCAUGGGGGCUUCCUCUGAUCCCGCACCAUUAAGGAAUGAGCCAAAACACAUCACCAGUGAAAUAACAAACUACUACACCAAUGAUCACCUAUAUGGCAACAUGGAGGUUGAAGAUGACAGCCUAUACAUGUGUGUUGGUGGAGACCAUGCAAUCUACGAAAACAUAUGAGCACAACAGAAAGCAUGGCAACUAAGAGGAAAUUGUACUCAGUCUGUCAAAAGUUUUAGCAAAAUAUAAAAAUGUUAACCCAAAGUAGCUGUAUGUACUGUAUGCAAUUACAUGGUGGCCUGACUGUUGUGACUCGUUUUGAACACAUUAAGGGAGCGCUUUGACACUGGUCUUGGACAGUGGUUAGUGCAAUGUUUACGUUGGAAAUCACAAGUUAGCUCAGUUUUCUCAA